AACGCACGAGACCUGCGGACCUGCGGAGGGAUCAUUACAGAGUUGCAAAACUCCCUAAACCAUUGUGAACGUUACCUAAACCGUUGCUUCGGCGGGCGGCGCGCCCUCGCGCGCGCCCCUGGGCCCCACCGCGGGCGCCCGCCGGAGGUCACCAAACUCUUGAUAUUAAUUGGCCUCUCUGAGUCUUCUGUACUGAAUAAGUCAAAACUUUUAGCAACGGAUCUCUAGAUCGGAAGAGCA
rnacentral:misc_RNA from 1 species